rnacentral:rRNA from 1 species
UACGAAGGGUGCAAGCGUUACUCGGAAUUACUGGGCGUAAAGCGUGCGUAGGCGGUUUGUUAAGUCUGUUGUGAAAGCCCCGGGCUCAACCUGGGAAUGGCAAUGGAUACUGGCAGGCUAGAGUGCGGUAGAGGGUGGUGGAAUUCCCGGUGUAGCGGUGAAAUGCGUAGAGAUCGGGAGGAACACCAGUGGCGAAGGCGGCUACCUGGACCAGCACUGACACUGAGGCACGAAAGCGUGGGGAGCAAACAGG